rnacentral:rRNA from 1 species
UACGUAGGCAGCAAGCGUUGUUCGGAAUUACUGGGCGUAAAGAGUGUGUAGGCGGUGCUCUAAGUCUGUUGUGAAAACUCGAGGCUCAACCUCGAGACGUCGGCGGAAACCAUCUGGCUAAGAGUCCGGAAGAGGAGAGUGGAAUUCCUGGUGUAGUGGUGAAAUGCGCAGAUAAUCAGGAAGAACACCCGUGGCGAAGGCGGCUCUCUGGGACGGUACUGGACGCU